rnacentral:rRNA from 1 species
GACGAACGCUGGCGGCGUGCUUAACACAUGCAAGUCGAACGGAAAGGCCCUGCUUUUGUGGGGUGCUCGAGUGGCGAACGGGUGAGUAACACGUGAGUAACCUGCCCUUGACUUUGGGAUAACUUCAGGAAACUGGGGCUAAUACCGGAUAGGAGCUCCUGCUGCAUGGUGGGGGUUGGAAAGUUUCGGCGGUUGGGGAUGGACUCGCGGCUUAUCAGCUGGUUGGUGGGGUAGUGGCUUACCAAGGCUUUGACGGGUAGCCGGCCUGAGAGGGUGACCGGCCACAUUGGGACUGAGAUACGGCCCAGACUCCUACGGGAGGCAGCAGUGGGGAAUAUUGCACAAUGGGCGGAAGCCUGAUGAAGCAACGCCGCGUGCGGGAUGACGGCCUUCGGGUUGUAAACCGCUUUCGCCUGUGACGAAGCGUGAGUGACGGUAAUGGGUAAAGAAGCACCGGCUAACUACGUG